UCAUCUUUUGACAAUUCAUUUUUAAGAUAUAGUUGCCUAUUUAACAAUUUUCCUUUUCUGCUGAACUAAAAUUGGACAUUAGUGAUUUUAAUUAAGCAUAGAAAAUACUAUAUUCCUAUUAAAAAGUCUAAUGGUUUAAUUAUAAAGAACUAGCAGGGAAUAGUGCAUAGAAAGAUGGCUCUGAAACUGGGAAGACCAGGUUACAAGUCUGACCUUUCAUACAUACUAACUCUGUGACCCUGGAUAAAUAAAUUAGUUUUUGGGUACUGUAGACAGGGUACUUUUAGGGGCUUAAUUUUCCUCAUUCUUGUAUUCCUCAUAACUUGUAUGUCUCUUCUUUGUGGCUUUUUUAUAGGUGCUGAAUAAGGUAAUGAAUUUGUAAAUGCGGCAUACAGUACUUGAUUAUGAUAUCAUUUGACAUCAGCGUCAAGUCCUGGAGAAAUUGUCAAGUAAAAGCAAAUAGAAAGACAAAAAAGGAAUGGUCCCUGUUCUUCUCCCAGUGAUGCUAUUUGCUUAGGAAUCAUGGAAUGGAGUUAUUUCAGAAGAAUCAGAAUUGCAAGUGGCUGCAGUGGCAAUGGAAAGAAGUAUGAGGCAGUGCAAGAAAUCUCAGUUGCAUCACUGAUGAUGACAUGGCCCAUGACCAAUGUUAAUCCAAUGAUGGGUUAACAUAUACUAUCCAGAAUAUGUAAGCCUGUAAAAGGAGAUGGAGAUGAUGGAAUUUUUAUUUUUGGUUUAAGAGAAGAAGGAACAAAGGAAACCCCAAAAGAGAAGAAAAAUCAGUGGUUGAACUAAUAGAAACUAGGAAGAUCAACUGACAAAAGAAAAACCAAACCAAAAGAAGUUGUGCUCAAAGGAAAAUAAGAAAUGAAAAGAAAGGCUACAUAGGGGAGUGAUUGGAGAGCUGGCUUCUGAUGCAGAAAGAUCUACAUUCAAAUUCUGCUUCUGAUACUAGCCAUUUGAGCAUAUGACUUAACUCUUCUGUGUCCAUAGAGGACUGAUAACUCAAAGUCCAAGAGAGGCUGAUUUUGACUCAGUGCAAGGAAAACAAAAACUUCAAAAAAACUGCAUUGAUUUUAUAGCGUUGGGAGCUUUGGCAGACUUGGCCCUGGAACUUGAGCCUGGAGAUGCUCCUCAGACUGCUUCCUUUUAGACGGUCACGUGGUGAGUGAUAAGACUGACUCCCCUUUCCCUUGGCUUUCUGGAGAGGCCCCUUGGUCGAAGUCUCUGAACUCCUGCUUGACGCAGAGUGGGCUGGAGCAGUCCAAUUCCCUCUCCUCUGUCUUUUCUUCUUAAUUUCUUCCCACCAUUGUAAUUAAACCACCAUAAAAAUCCCAAA